AUCCUUUUGUGGUUCAUAAGCAUGAUGAUUGGGUUUUCACGCUCAUGUGUGAGAUGUGCCUCCCUCAAACCUUGUUACGACAUUGGCAUAUUACUCUUCUGACG
ensembl:snoRNA